rnacentral:rRNA from 1 species
ACUCCUACGGGAGGCAGCAGUGGGGAAUAUUGCACAAUGGGCGCAAGCCUGAUGCAGCCAUGCCGCGUGUGUGAAGAAGGCCUUCGGGUUGUAAAGCACUUUCAGUCGUGAGGAAGGUGAGUAGUAGUUAAUAGCUUGCUAUUAUUUUGACGUUAGCGAACAGAAGAAGCACCGGCUAACUCCGUGCCAGCAGCCGCGGUAAUACGGAGGGUGCGAGCGUUAAUCGGAAUUACUGGGCGUAAAGCGCAUGCAGGUGGUUUGUUAAGUCAGAUGUGAAAGCCCGGGGCUCAACCUCGGAAUUGCAUUUGAAAACUGGCAAGGCUAGAGUCUUGUAGAGGGGGGGUAGAAUUUCAGGUG